UACGUAGGUGGCGAGCGUUAUCCGGAUUUAUUGGGUUUAAAGGGAGCGUAGGCGGCUGAUUAAGUCAGCGGUGAAAGGUAGCAGCUCAACUGUUUUACAUGCCGUUGAUACUGGUUAGCUUGGGUUGACAGAAGGCAGAUAGAAUUCCUGGUGUAGCGGUGAAAUGCUUAGAUACCAGGAGGAAUACCGAUUGCGAAGGCAGUCUGCUGCAGUCACACUGACGCUGAGGCUCGAAGGUGCGGGGAUCAAACAGG
rnacentral:rRNA from 1 species